GUUUAUUUCACUGACAAUCUGUGCGCGUUAGGCCCGCCCCUUCAAACUGCUCCGUGACCAGACCAUGGAUCUACUGUAAUAUCGGGACCAGACUCACUUCCCUGCGUGGAAAUGGACCGGGAACAGGCUGUCUGAAACAGUGAGUCCGUGACCCCCCCUGGCCUGGGUUUGUUUGACACAUGGAGAGACUUUCUGCACAGGUUGUCUGUGUGAAACAGUGAUCCCCCCCUGGCCUGGGUUUGUUUGGUCUCGUCCUGGUCACUAAAGUCAACACACGGUGGACUCUGCAGCGAUCGAUCUGUUUAGUGAUGAAGUCGGUGAUGAAGCCUCUGCUGGUUCUGCUCGUGCUGUGGCCUCGGCCCGGGACCUGCUCCGACUCACAUGACCAGGUUUUAUCGAUCACGCCCCAGACGCCAGAGGAGGCGGAGCUUCUGAAGAACAUCUCCACCAGGUUCGAGGAGCCACUGUUUAUUUCAGAUCAUUAGAAUAAACUGUUGCCCCAGUCAGGUCAGCCCGUCUACACUGCUGCUGCAUUCAAGAGCGCUACGACAUUACGAGCAGUAAAUAAAUCAAAUAAAAAAACUGCCAAUAUUUUCCCAUAUCAGACCGAUACCGAUAUGUGAAAAAAUUACAAAUAUCGCUAAAGUGUCCUCCUGCAGACGUCUCCUCUUAGUGUGGUUAUCUAUGAUGUAAUAAAGUGUCUCAGUGUGGUUAUCUAUGAUGUAAUAAAGUGUCUCAGUGUGGUUAUCUAUGAUGUAAUAAAGUGUCUCAGUGUGGUUAUCUAUGAUGUAAUAAAGUGUCAGUGUGGUUAUCUAUGAUGU
rnacentral:lncRNA from 1 species